ACACUGUUCAAAUUAAAUAGACAACAGAAGAAAAUCACGUGAUUCUUGCGGACGCGUUGGCUUGACAACUGUAAUCUUUACCUGGUGCUGAAGCGAGCACUCAGAGGACACCAUGCCAGAGGUCAAAUCAAUAUUCAGAGAAGUUCUGCCUAAACAAGGACAGCUCUCCAUGGAAGAUGUCCCUACUAUGGUUUUGUGUAAGCCAAAGCUGCUCCCACUCAAAUCAGUCACCCUUGAGAAACUGGAGAAAAUGCAAAUGGAGGCUCAAGAGGCUGUUAAACAACAGGAACUGGCAAUGAAGGAGCAACUACAGUAGAUACCCAGUGAAGGAUUGGAAAAAAACAAAUGCCUAAACUGGCAAAAGUCCUUCAGAUGGAUCAAGCAAACACACUGAUUCCAAGCACUGGAAUGUAUUUGUAUGGACUUGGAGGGAAUCUGGCGUUACAGAGUUAAAAAAAAAAAAAGUGUUUAAUCCCUCUUUGUCCCUUUUGAAAGUCUUGCUGUUCUGUGGUUAUUGUUGAAUGAUCUAUAGCAUGGAAUUAGCAAAGAUUAUAUCUGUUACUUGCCAGUAGGGGUAGUGAGCUACUUAGGUACUACUUUAAAGUGUUAUAUUAUUAUUAUUAUUAUUAUUAUUAUUAUAUCUUUCAGAUAACUGCUUAUUUAAGUUGCAGUAUGCAGUUAGUACUGUGUGUUAAACAGACAAAAACAGAUGAAAUGAUUUCAUAGUGAUUUAAUCAACAAUCAAGGAACGUCAGGGUGUCUCUCACACUCCUUAUUCCCCAAAUAUAAAAAUAAACACUCUUAACACA